rnacentral:rRNA from 1 species
GUGCCAGCCGCCGCGGUAAUACCGGCAGCCCGAGUGAUGACCGAUCUUAUUGGGCCUAAAGCGUCCGUAGCUGGCUGCGCAAGUCCGUCGGGAAAUCCACUCGCCCAACGAGUGGGCGUCCAACGGAAACUGUCCGGCUUGGGGCCGGAAGAUCCGAGGGGUACGUCCGGGGUAGGAGUGAAAUCCCGUAAUCCUGGACGGACCGCCGGUGGCGAAAGCGCCUCGGAAGGACGGACCCGACGGUGAGGGACGAAAGCCAGGGUCUCGAACCGGAUUAGAUACCCGGGUAGUCC